UACGAGUGGCCCAAGCGUUAGACGGAAUCACUGGGCUUAAAGCGUCCGUAGGUGGGCGCGCAGGCGUCUUGUGAAAGCCCCCGGCUCAACCGGGGAACUGCAGGGCGAACCGCGUGCCUUGAGGCAGGUAGGGGCGAGCAGAACUGUGGGUGGAGCGGUGAAAUGCAUUGAGAUCCACAGGAAUGCCGAUGGCGAAGGCAGCUCGCUGGGCCUGAUCUGACACUGAGGGACGAAAGCGUGGGGAUCAAACACG
rnacentral:rRNA from 1 species